UGAUGUACGCUGACUUAGGCAUUCUGUUUUUCCUCUUGGCUUUGCUCAGCCACCGACAGCACACACGGAAGUCCACUUUUUCUCCAAAACCUGAGCAUAGCAGAACUCUUCCCUCCAACUGGUUAUCAGAGCAAGGUAGCCGUCGAGGAGGCUCGAAACAGAAGUUUGAGCCAGUUCUGGAACCGGGAACUUUUCUUACCCCAAGGACUGGUUUGGUUUGUCUGCAAUUUGUCUCCAGAAGUUACACACAGGAUUCCUUUGAAUAGACUUGCCAUAUUGCCUGUUUCAGUGGAUUUCCCCCAGAUUUUAGAGGAACCACCUGCUUCCCAUUUGGACCAUCACUGGGCCUGGACUCCAAGCUUUCAUUUGUGAAGGACUAAGUUGUACAGAAGCAUUUGGUGGUGAACAAGCAUAAAAAGUAAGCACAGAAUUUCUUGAUCUCACAUGUAGGCCACUUCAAAGUAUAUAAUACUUUUAUUUUCAAUAUCUUAGUAGCAGUUAAU